UAUCAGAUGAGGUGCUAGUUGCUACUGUAUGCGUUUACAGUUAAUCUCUCUGUCUCGUUGUUUAACAGCCAAGAUGAUGUGUUGUACACUUACAAUUCAUGCUGAUGCUAGCUGGUCGUUUCCAACUGGCUCCGAUUUUCACCUCUACCUGGUGCUGGCCUCGGAGCCUCCGCCAUGCUGCCAGUAUAGCUAGCUCAGUUCUCCCUCUGCAUUUUUUAAUUCCAUCUGAUUUUCAGCAAUUUUUGUUACUCUAUCUUCUUUGAAGUGUUUUUGUUUGCCACAAUGUCUGUCGUAGCAGAAUUCGUAUAUUUGGUAGCUUGGUAGAGUUAGCAUUCCAUUUUACUGUUAAAUUCAUCCAGUUGCACGACAGAUAGAAUAUCUUAAAACUCAUUUUGCAUGGUAAACAUUAGACAUUUUCAGCUUGAGCUUUGCAUAAUUAAUAUUCUGAAACAAGAAAAUGUAUUCCAAGAAUCUUGGGACGGGGUCCAGGAUUUUUUCUGUUCAAGCUGGAGCAACAAUGAGACUGUAGAAUGGCACCUAUGAAGUUGAAGUGAGUGAACAGCCCAACCAUUUCCUGUUGUGGAUGGAGCAAGACUCGAGUACUGACCAUGAUGUUGGGAUCUGAAGUGGAGCUGGAAGCAGAGGGAUCCCCUUUGAGUUCCCAAUGCCUCAACAAUCACAAGUGUCAUGUCUGAAGGGAUCAUACUGAUAAAAUGAUUGAACUGUGCAGAAGUAGAGGAAUAUUCAAUAAAGUACAGAAGACGCACCUCUAAGCUGCAAUGACACCAGACUAGAGAAGAUGCACCACUAAUUAGAUUCGUCCAGUGCAAGAGAAACCAGAUGGUUUCUCCGUGUUAUAGAUGUACGGACUUUUUGGAUUCGUCACUGACCUUUCAAUGUUCCAACGAUCUUGGAACAAGCUACAACAUCAUUUCCACGGCUGCGACGCCACCAAUCCAGGGUUUACAUGUGACACUUGCUGGUUGGCCCUGGUUCCCAUUCCUAGAUGAUGUUAGUUCUUCCCCAUGGAACUGAUCGAGUUCAUGCCAAAUUCUAUUUUCUUGGAGCCUAAAAUCUUCCAGUUUGUAGAACAUGAGGUGGCUGCAUUUUGCACCAUUCACUGGGCCAUCGCAUGAUCUGCUUGUGCUAUGUACAAUUAUCAAUAUAUUGCUGCCAGUAUAUUCUGUAAUUCCUUGUAACUGAAGAACAGGAAGACAUGCUACUGUGCAAGCCAAUGGAACUUGUGCUGUUGUUCAGUAGCCGGAUAUGACUGUUCUGUUUUCCACAUGUAACAUUAUAUCAACAUACCAUCGGCUUUGUGGUUUUCGCUGGUUUCACUUUGCAAUUAAAUUGCAGUUUCCUC